rnacentral:rRNA from 1 species
UACGUAGGGUGCGAGCGUUAAUCGGAAUUACUGGGCGUAAAGCGUGCGCAGGCGGCGCGUUAAGACAGGUGUGAAAGCCCCGAGCUUAACUUGGGAAUUGCGCUUGUGACUGGCGUGCUGGAGUGUGGCAGAGGGAGGUGGAAUUCCACGUGUAGCAGUGAAAUGCGUAGAGAUGUGGAGGAAUACCGAUGGCGAAGGCAGCCCCCUGGGCCAAUACUGACGCUCAUGCACGAAAGCGUGGGGAGCAAACAGG